GUACAGGUGUAAGGCACAGACUGCGGUCUCAGAGCGCCCCCUAGCGCUGCUGUUCAGCAUCACACUGAAGCAAUCAGCGAACACCUGCGGAGAUCAGCAGCAGCUUCAGACCUCAGAGCAGUAAGAAGUCCUUUGACUGUGUGUAUAUCGGGAGCCAUCACAGCCUGAACAUUUGGACCAGAAAGGAGAAAAUGAGAUUUCUAUGUAAAGACUGCUCGAUCAACUGCACACCAAGUCUGCUAAAAUGUCGAGCUACUGACCGAUCUUCAUCUGGAAGUUGUUGAAGGAGUGCUCGUUGAUAUACUUCAUCUGCUCGCGGAGCCUCAUGGCAUAGUCAGCCAGCGCUAAGAUGUGUGAGCGGCCCUCUCGGUCAUACGUGGAGGCGUUCAGGCCCGACGCUGCCAUUUCCAGGACAGUCUAAUUCCCGAGGGCAUUGCGAGAGGUACCUGAAGCUUCCACAGGAAAUCCAGGCGAGCAGUGGACUCCACCUGCUGGGCAUGCAAGUACAGCGCCAGCACAAACACAGUGA